rnacentral:rRNA from 1 species
ACGGAGGGUGCAAGCGUUAUUCGGAUUUAUUGGGCGUAAAGGGCGCGCAGGCGGCUUUUUAAGUCAGAUGUGAAAGCCCCGGGCUUAACCCGGGAAGUGCAUUUGAAACUGGGAAGCUUGAGUAUGGGAGAGGAAAUCGGAAUUCCUGGUGUAGCGGUGAAAUGCGUAGAUAUCAGGAGGAACACCGGUGGCGAAAGCGGAUUUCCGGACCAAUACUGACGCUGAGGCGCGAAGGUGCGGGGAGCAAACAG